rnacentral:lncRNA from 1 species
AGGGUGGGGUAGGGUUUUUGGAAUAUGAAAUUUAGGAUUCUAAAUAUAUAAAUAAAUACUUAAAAAAAUAUUUAAAAAAAUAUUUUCAAACAUAAUUUUUGAUCUUCAAAAAGAAAAUUUGAAAAAAAAAAUCAAGAAAACAAAUUCAAAAACAAAAUUUAAAAAAAAAGUUUGAAUUUAAAAAAGUUCAAUUCAAAAACAUAAAAAAAAAUUAUUUAUUUAAAUAAUGAUUUAUUAUAUAUAUAUAGAACAAGAGUAUAAUAGUCUUUUGCCACUUAAUGUAAAAGAC